rnacentral:snRNA from 9 species
GUACGUUACAGGGGGGUCUAUAGAUGAUUAGGAGGGUCAAUGGCCUAGGAAGGCCACCUCCACUGCACUUGGCAGGGGAUCUACCUAGCAUCUCCCAGUGAGGAGAGUGCAUGUCAUAAUUUGUCGCAACGGUCUC